AAAUUUCCACGACGACGCGACUCUGUUUGUUGAUUUCUCGCCGAAGCUCUCCAAUAUCGACCACCAGCCAGAAGUUUACGAAGGUUAAUAGGAAAGACCAAUCAGAUUAUCAUCUGCCGUCUUCGUUCAAACGUUUGAAAAAGAAAGAAGACAAUGAGCGAACACAACUCUUCCACCUUCUAAGUUAUACACAACUUCGAAUCCCAGGAGGAAAGCUAUCGAUCGAUUGCGGGAGUAAGGGCGGGCGGAAUGGCGGGGAGAGAGGUGUUUUGGACCGAUUUCGAUUGUUGCGAUCUUGUUCGACAUGGUGAUUCCUGGGUUUUCUGCUCCGGUGCCGACGAGUGAUGGUUUGUUUAUUUUUAUUUCUAUCUUUUUCAUCUAAGCUUCUGUUAGAUCUGUUGAUUAGAUCCUAUUUUUUGUUUGUUUGUUUCAACUGAUUUCUCGGACCUCGAUUUAUGUUUUGUUUUAUUUGUCUCCAUCUCUGUUUAUUUUUGUGUUUGUCUCCAUCUCGAAUCUGUUCACUUCCUGCUCGAUCAAAUUUUCUCCAUCCGUUUUUUCCCCUCUGUUUUGAAUUUCGUGAAUCAAUCUUCGCCAUUGGGAUUUUGUUUGAAUCGAGUUUCGGGAAUGAUUUUAAUUAACUGUUGAUAAAUUAGCAUGUUAAUUUGAUUUCCCAAAUCAAUUUCCCCAAAUCAAUUAAAUUGAUUUUCCCCAAAUAUUUCUUUCCAUAUUUUUGAUUUGCAUGAAUCGAGAAAAGGGUCGAUUGGCUACAAAUUAAGCAAAAAAUAAUAAUAAACAAUAAAUAAAAAUAUCAAAAUUCCACAACUCCUUUUCCGUCCGCACAUGGAUCCUCUGAUAAGUAGGUGUUGGGCUUUAAAACAACAAUUAGACUACUACCCACCAUUGGAAAAUUUAAUCGCGUUUAUCCAAGAGGAUGCGAUGGGGAAAGCAGCAUUACUGGAUAAAACAUUAAUCCUUAUCAGAAUUUUCGGAGAGCCCAGUUCCAAUGAUAUCUGCAUAAGACUCAUCAGGAGGUACUGGAAUCCGACUCUCCCUUAUUUCAUCAAGAAAGCUGAGAGGAAUUCAUAUGUCAUAAGUUUUACUGGGGAGGAGGAUUUUAAAUUAAUUGGUUCGAAACAGUGGGAUUGGUUUGGGGAGAAUGUCGUGAUGGUCAGACACUGGUUCUCAAGGAUAGAUACCUUCGAGGAAGCUCUCGAUUAGAUACCAAAGAAGCUUAGAUUAAUUAACAUGCCAGAAUUUUUAUACAGUACAGAGGCAGUUAGCAGAAUCAGCAGUACUCUAGGCUUUCCCAUUGAAGGUCGUUUGAGCACGGGAGCUGAUUUUUGCAAUCCUCUUGCGAAGAAAAUCACGUCAUCUGCAAACUCGAGGUGGGAUAUCACCUUUGCCCCACCAAUGAUGAAGAGUUUCAUCCUUCCCUUUUCCACCUUAAUUUUUGUGAGACGCCCAAGACAAUUAUAAAAGGUAGCGGUGAUAGUGGGUCGCCUGGGAUGGGAAACGAGGAACGAGCCUAACUCUAACUCGUUUAUUAAACAAGCUUGGAGAAAAACUCAGACUUGGCUCGUUUAGCUUUUUUUUGUAUGAAUUUUUAUUCAUUUUUCAAAUUUUGGUUGGUGGAUUCUGUUCAGAAUAACAAUUUCCAGAAAGGAAGUGAUGAACACAGUUGUCAAUCUCAAUCAAACUACAACCUGCUUGUUUUUGUAUGUCUUGCUCAUCCAUCAAUCUUCGAAUGAUGGUAGCAUUUUCCCACCGUUUCCGAGCUGUGUGCAUCUUAGAGACCAAGACAAAUCCACCAGCACUGUGUUCGGAUUCCAGAAUUUUUCUGGCUAGAAAUAACGAGUCAUCUUUUAAAAAUCCAUCGUUACAUUCACCUCGUGCUUCUUUCUUGUGAUGAUUGUCCAAAAGACUCCUCCAGAUGACAAUGUCGGGUUCGCAG
rnacentral:lncRNA from 1 species